rnacentral:rRNA from 1 species
CCUACGGGAGGCAGCAGUGGGGAAUAUUGGACAAUGGGCGAAAGCCUGAUCCAGCAAUGCCGCGUGAGUGAUGAAGGCCUUAGGGUUGUAAAGCUCUUUUACCAGGGAUGAUAAUGACAGUACCUGGAGAAUAAGCUCCGGCUAACUCCGUGCCAGCAGCCGCGGUAAUACGGAGGGAGCUAGCGUUGUUCGGAAUUACUGGGCGUAAAGCGUGCGUAGGCGGUUAUUCAAGUCAGAGGUGAAAGCCUGGAGCUCAACUCCAGAACUGCCUUUGAAACUAGAUAACUAGAAUCUUGGAGAGGUGAGUGGAAUUCCGAGUGUAGAGGUGAAAUUCGUAGAUAUUCGGAAGAACACCAGUGGCGAAGGCGACUCACUGGACAAGUAUUGACGCUGAGGCACGAAAGCGCGGGGAGCAAACAGGAUUAGAUACCCUGGUAGUCCACGCCGUAAACGAUGAUAACUAUCUGUUCGGGAUCUACGAUCUUGAGUGGAGCAGCUAACGCAUUAAGUUAUCCGCCUGGGGAGUACGGUCGCAAGNUUAAAACUANAGAUGACGNNGNGAGNGCGAGACGACACGAGGAGAG